CAGAAAAUCAAAUUCUGGCCAUCACAUAAUUUGAUGUCCCAUACAGAGUAUCUAUCACUCAGCAAAGCCCUGGCUGAGCUUCUCCAUUCUCCCCACCGACAUUUCCUCUGCAAGGUGACGUCUGGGGGCUGCGCAGGCACGGAAGGAGAGCUGAGGAAACAGCCGCUCAAACUGAUCACUCCGACUCUUGAGACUCAGAGCUCAGGGUGCGGGAAACGCCACACCGACGCCUCCUCGUCUUCCGGAAGCCUCUAUGCAUGCUUAGCAUCCUCGGGGAGUCCUCAUGGCACCGGUCCCAUCCUCUUUGGUCUCCUCUUCCAGGAAAUAAUGAGCAAAACAAAGGCAGUCUGGCAGAAAGCAGCUGCGUUGAACUUAGCAAUGACAGGCCCUGGGAGACAAGGGGGCCUCAGGGGAUCUGAAGAAGGUGCUUCAGGACAGUGGAAUUCUACUUUAGACAACCUGGAAGGCAGUACCUGUUCAAAAAUAAAAACAAGACCAAAAUGAAGACACCCGCCUUGGUGAGCACUCUACCAACAAUUAUUGAUUAAUGAUUGAUUCCGUGAGGUGAGGCCAUCCAGACCUGCACAGGCCUCGUUCUGGAAAUUCACAGCUAGGACUGGAGACGAACCUCUACCACCACCAAAACCAUUUUAUGUACCGUCCUGGAUGCAAACCUCUGCCUUUUACUGAGCAUGAACAAAAAAAAGUCUAGAUAAUCCGAGUCCAUGUUAGGCUCACUUAUUGGGAAGUUUGCUAAAUUAAAAUAGGUGUCUGUCAGUAGAUUGGAUUCUUUUAGGCCAGACUUGAAUAUUUCUCUCCUUCUUUUUCUACUAAAUGAGGGAGAUGGUGGCAAGGGGGGGAAGAAGAGAGAAAAGCAGGCAUGUUUUCUUAAAUCCAAAGAUGGAAAAGGAACCUCUUCUUAGUAAGCCUUCCAAGUUCUCCACAUGAGUGUGACCAGAAGGUCCCAGGGUGUCUCCCUGUUUCCUUGCCUGAGUUCCCCAGCUGCACUCUCAGUUUACUCCAAGGCUGUCCUAUCCCCCUUCUUAAAGGGGUUUGUUUUGAAUGCAGAUAGCUUUUGACCCAGCAAUUCUACUCCUAGGAAAUCCAUCCUACAAUUAGAGUAGCACACAUGGAAAAUGAUAUACAUGAAGCGGUCUGAAUGUCCACCAGUAAGGAACCAGUUAGAAGAACCGUGUAAAAGCAGAAAUCUUUGUACAUGUAAUGAUGGGGUGAACAUGAAAAAACAAAUAAAUAAAACAGAACCCCAUAAUACCAUCCCCAAAAUAUAUUAAUUCUUUCAAAGCAAUGGCAUAAGUUUGUAUGCCACCAUUUGUGUAUAAAAGAGGGAAAGAAUAUAUAUGUAUUUGCUAAUUCAUGUACAAAAUAGCUGUGGAAGGAUGGACAAUAAACUCAUAGCAUUGAUGCCUCAGGGAGGGAGCUUACAUACCUACAGGGAGGUUUUCUCACUGUCCAUUCUCACAGCUUUGGAAUCUGGCGCUACAGGAAUGCACUUGAACAUAAAUAAAUAAAUUCAUUCUUCAUUAACUAAAAAUAAUUUAUAUCACUUUUAAAGGGGACUGGUUAUGUAAAUCCCUGCUCUGAAUAGACCACUAUACUUGGAUACUUGCAGCAGUAGAGCUGGUUGGGACCCCACCUCUCAGGUUUCCUUCUCUGAGCAGAGGCUGGCAGAGGGCCACAGAAAUAAACGCUCCUCGAAAUUGCUCUGACAUCUUGGAAUUUGGUUUUAUCAAAUACAACCAGUGAUAAUUGAGCCACUGCCUGAGCAGCUCUCCCCUUUUCUAAUUGCAUUUGCUGAAAUGAGUUCAGAACUGCACAUCCCAGGUGGUUUGAAGCCCAGCCUAAAAGGCUCCUGCUUAGGGCAAGCUUAGAGGCUUAUCCACCAGAAGUGGGGGAUCAUGGAAACAUCAUCACCUUCAUGGCUGGAGCCUACAGAAGGGUCAGAAGCAGGUGUGACACCAUCCUGUGCAACUGAGAUACUCCAGUCUGCCACCCACCAAGGUCUUCUGGAGGCCCAGGGGCACCAGUUGGUUCCAGCCAGGGGAAGCUCAGUGCGUGGGGGCAGCUGUUUGCGUAAGCAUGGCCCCCACUUCCGUUUCAGGGCCUUUCCCUCUACUCCUGGACUCCCCACAUACCCAGAUAAGAAACAGAGUAUGAACACAUAUAGCAUGGACUACACAGGCACCCAGAAAGCAGCAGUGAGUGUUAGUGGGAUCAAAUUUAACUUUGAGUAAAUGCACUUAAGAACACCGGGUACUAAGUAGAAUUUAAGUUUGGGUCUCCUGACUUUUUUUUUCUAAUCUGCAAAUGAAGCACACAGAUGCCCAAAGGGAAGAGCUGCCCUGCCUUCCAGGAACUGUGGGAAGUGCACACCAGAGGGGCUGGAGGCCUGGACUCACUAGCCUGCCUGGUCCUUACUACCUGUGCACUUCCUGGGGCCUGCACCUA